rnacentral:misc_RNA from 1 species
GGAAGUAAAAGUCGUUACAAGGUUUCCGUAGGUGAACCUGCGGAAGGAUCAUUACUGAGUGAGGGCCCCUCGGGGUCCAACCUCCCACCCGUGUUUAACGAACCUUGUUGCUUUGGCGGGCCCGCCUCACGGCCGCCGGGGGGCAUCUGCCCCCGGGCCCGCGCCCGCCGAAGCCACCUGUGAACGCUGUCUGAAGUAUGCAGUCUGAGACAAUUAUUAAAUUAAUUAAAACUUUCAACAACGGAUCUCUUGGUUCCG